CGCUUCUCCAGGGGACUAGAAGGACUACUCCUUUCAGGCAGGGCCAAAAGGCAUUUCCUGUUUCAAAGAAAAGAGGCUUAUUGUGGAGAGGUAUAGAGCGGCUUAGCACCAGCCAGAAGAAGAGGUGUAUUCUUUUGUAACCAGGAUUCUCCAGAGAAACAGAAUGGAUAGAAUGACUGGAAUAGAAUGAGAGCGCGGUAAUCGUAAGGAACUGGCUUACAUGAUUAUGGAGGCUGAGUAAGAGGCAUGGACGUUUCAACCUCAACUGAAGGCAUUGAUUGGGAGGGUUUCUCCCAGAGUUGGCCCACUUGGAAACCAGGUAAUCUGAGCUGGAGGAAAAAAGGCACCCCCCCACCCCAGAGCUGGUGAGCACACACAAUACAAAGCUUUUAACUCAGAUCAGAGUGUUCAGUUGUUGGCCUUUCUACAGGGGGCGGAGCUGGGGGGCUGGAGGCAGUUGAGAUCGGUUGGAAAGGGGAU